rnacentral:rRNA from 1 species
GAUGAACGCUGGCGGCGUGCCUAAUACAUGCCAGUCGAGCGAACGGACGAGAAGCUUGCUUCUCUGAUGUUAGCGGCGGACGGGUGAGUAACACGUGGAUAACCUACCUAUAAGACUGGGAUAACUUCGGGAAACCGGAGCUAAUACCGGAUAAUAUUUUGAACCGCAUGGUUCAAAAGUGAAAGACGGUCUUGCUGUCACUUAUAGAUGGAUCCGCGCUGCAUUAGCUAGUUGGUAAGGUAACGGCUUACCAAGGCAACGAUGCAUAGCCGACCUGAGAGGGUGAUCGGCCACACUGGAACUGAGACACGGUCCAGACUCCUACGGGAGGCAGCAGUAGGGAAUCUUCCGCAAUGGGCGAAAGCCUGACGGAGCAACACCGCGUGAGUGAUGAAGGUCUUCGGAUCGUAAAACUCUGUUAUUAGGGAAGAACAUAUGUGUAAGUAACUGUGCACAUCUUGACGGUACCUAAUCAGAAAGCCACGGCUAACUACGUG